UGAGUUGUGUCGGAUGUGCUUUGCACGGCGGGCUCCCCGCACAUCGGUGCGGCCAACCGUCGUGGGGCUUGUCUUUUCAAUAUCCCUCGGAUGCUUUGUUCUUGCGGCGGAGGGACAAUGCUUUGUCGGUGCUUGUGUGGGUACCCAUCUUGUGGAACGGCUGUUGCCUUUGACGGGUUGUUUUCUCCCCUCUAUUGCGAUAGAUUCUGUGGGCUUUUGAAAUGCUGGCUUUAUCCUUGAGCGCACAUCGUGUGCCGCUCGCUCGGUUAUUGUCGCCUCUCGUGGAUGCUGUGGCUAUGUGGGAUUCCGCGGUCCUUUUGGUCCGCAAGUUUCUGUUGAUUUCCCCUUGCACGCAAAGAUUGCUCCCCUCCCCUUGCUCUUGUGGAACGGCUUUGGCUUUGUCACGUGCGGAGCGGUGGGAUGCUGAUGGGGUUUGCGGGGGCAGCGCUUUUGUGCAAUUGCGUGAUGUUUUAUGAUUUAUUAUUAGCGAUUGCCGGCUCAUGUCGUGCGAAUGGUCGCCCGGUCGGGUGCGCCAUAGCCGCGUGCGGGCUCUCGUCUAUGAGAUGCUACCUGGUUGAUCCUGCCAGUAGUCA
rnacentral:misc_RNA from 1 species